rnacentral:rRNA from 1 species
GACGAACGCUGGCGGCGUGCUUAACACAUGCAAGUCGAACGGAAAGGCCCUGCUUUUGUGGGGUGCUCGAGUGGCGAACGGGUGAGUAACACGUGAGUAACCUGCCCUUGACUUUGGGAUAACUUCAGGAAACUGGGGCUAAUACCGGAUAGGAGCUCCUGCUGCAUGGUGGGGGUUGGAAAGUUUCGGCGGUUGGGGAUGGACUCGCGGCUUAUCAGCUUGUUGGUGGGGUAGUGGCUUACCAAGGCUUUGACGGGUAGCCGGCCUGAGAGGGUGACCGGCCACAUUGGGACUGAGAUACGGCCCAGACUCCUACGGGAGGCAGCAGUGGGGAAUAUUGCACAAUGGGCGGAAGCCUGAUGCAGCAGCGCCGCGUGCGGGAUGACGGCCUUCGGGUUAUAAACCGCUUUCGCCUGUGACGAAGCGUGAGUGACGGUAAUGGGUAAAGAAGCACCGGCUAACUACGUG